AUAGUACCACUAAUCAGGAGGUCUAGAAGGAGUCAUAGUACCACUGAUCAGGAGGUCUAGAAGGAGUCAUAGUACCACUGAUCAGGAGGUCUAGAAGGAGUCAUAGUACCACUGAUCAGGUCUAGAAGGAGUCAUAGUACCACUAAUCAGGAGGUCUAGAAGGAGUCAUAGUACCACUAAUCAGAGCUCCUAAAAUGACUCCACAGACAGUGAACUACUUUCUCCAUCCAGCUGUAAAAACAGACGGCAGCUGUUUCAGACUUGGUUCAGGGGUUCUCCAUGGAAACCAGAGUUAAUGUGAAGCUCAGAAGGAACCUUCAGAACAUCAACCUCUAUGGACGGAGGACCAGAACUAAGCCUGGCUGCUGAAGAACCCGAGAAGAAGCCUGAUGGAUGUUGGAGAACAUUCUUUGGUCAGAUGAAGAUCAACGAGUUGGGCUCAGAUGGAGUCCAGAUGUUUGGUGAGAACCUGAGCAGGACUACCAUAGUGGAUGCAGAGUCCUGACAAUGAAGCACGGAGUUCACUAACCCUCGUGUCGUCCUGUGAGUCAAACUGACUCAUUUUACAAUUUGAAAAUGUGAAAAAAAAA
ensembl:lncRNA